rnacentral:lncRNA from 1 species
CCAUCCUUGAAAGCUUCAAUCAAGACUUCAUAAAAGACCAGGCCCCCUUGUUAGUUUACAAAAAAAGGGAGCUUCGGAAAUGGAAGUGGAGUCUGUCUUGCUUGCUUUGCUGUUGAUAAAUGCCCUUACGUUUUCGCAGCUUAAUCUGGCAGUUGAGGCGGCUGAGUCUGUUCCUCUAUCACCAUCGGAUGAUUUCUCGAAAGAGUUGAAAGCUUUAUCUAGGAGGAGUCGGCGAAUAACUCCACCAUCACCCAGGAUUAAUGCUCCUGUUCACUUCAAAAGCCCUCCUCCAUCACCUCGACCUCCUCCGCCGCCACGGUCACCACCACCUCCAUGUCUGUGGCGUCCACCUACUGCGUUUGGAUAAGACGAUUGUUUCCCAGGUUACACACAGUUGAUGAAGCUCUCAUGUCAUCAGCUUUUGUUUGUAAAUUGUAAAACUUUAAAGUGCUUGUAUGUUAGCAGCAAAUACCAACUUUGUUUAGCUCUGAUAAUAAUUAAAUUUGUAAUGAUAAAAAUAAUAAUAUGUUAAAUAUAAAAAUGAAUAAAUGUAUGCAUCACUUUCACUUAAACACUCUUUAAGAAAUUGUUUAAUAAGUAUCCCUUGUCUUCCCUUCCCAUCUCUUUGAAGUCUCCCGACCAUCUCUAUAUGUAGCAUAAAUGAUGAGCAGCCCUCCAUCAACGAGGACCCGGGUCCUCAAAGGCCAACUCAAAAAAGCAUCUCAAUCUAAGAGAGGAGGGUAGCCUUUUCAGUGCAGUGCUUUCAGGGUUGAAUGAGCAUCGAGGUCUUUCGAGAUUGGGGUUUUCUCGUAGGAAAAAAAUGAAAAAAUCAUCUUGAUAAUAGUCCUUUUAUAGAUCGGGUGGACAAAGGAAUAGCAAGCCUUUGGAAGGAAGAAAAAGCUAACAUAUGGACGAAGAUCGGGUGAAUGAGAUAAUUCCCAGAUUCAUUUCAAAAACCUCUAGAUUAGCCUUGGCCGAACACAGGUAAACCGUCCAGACCCCACUCAAACCAUAGUCCCCUCAAAGGCCAACUCAAAAACAACAAUCUCUACGUCUAUGGAGCCUGGACUGCAGAAACUGAGAAACCUCCAAUUCCAAGCUCCCUGGUUCGGUGCAACUUGGACUUUCUGGGAAGGGCAUUAAAUACCCAACCAACAUAUUUAUUUUGGCCACUUCACUGUAGAGGGAUCAUGGGUCGAGUUUGUGCCGGGUUCAGAUAAAAUUUUAGGCCCGUUUUAUUAGCCCGGAUCUGACUCGGUCUGGCCCAAAAUAUAGAUAUAAAAAUUUAUCUAAACUUGGCCCGAAAAAAUUAUUAAGCCCGAGCCUGACUCGGCCUAUAUUAAUUUUUUUAACUUAUUUCAUUAAAUAAAAAAUUUAAAACAAAUAUUAAAACAAAAAACAAAUAAAAAAUGAGACUAAAACAAUUCUUAAAACAAUACACAAAUUGAAAAUAUAAUAAAAAGUGAUUAUAUUAAAAUUGAAACAAAUUAGAACUAAAAUAAUAACUAAAUUAAUAAUAAAACAAAAGUAUAUUUGAUUAAAUAUAAAAUAUAUAUAUUUAAUAUAUAAUUCGUGCCAAGCCGGGCCGGGUCUAGCCCAAAAAAAUUUUACCUAAGGCUUAGCCCGUUUUCUAAACGGACCUCAUUUUUUUGGCCUAAACUUAUAUUUUGAACAUAUAUUUUUAUCUAAAUCUUUUUAUUUUUCAAGUAGACUAUCGGACCAGGCUAAAUAACUUAACCCAUGAUCACUUCUACUCCACUUCAGUAAUCAUUUGACUGCAGCCAAACCAAUAUCAAGUUGAUGGGACUGGGGGUCAAAAUUCAUGCACCAAGCAAUCUACGCUGCUAGACCCAAGACCAUUCUUCAGCUUGAUGAGCCCAAUGACCAGAGCCAAUGCUCUACGACUAGCUCCAUGAAACCCAAAAUGCAGCAAGAGACUCAUUGUAACGCCCCACUUUUGUUGUGUUUAGAUUGUUAAAGUAUGUUAAAUAAUUUAAUCUGGUAUGUGGUUAAGCGUCUUAAAUGUUUGUUUUAGGUCUUGACUUUAAUUCUUUUAUUUUGGAUUUUUUAUUAAUUUUGAUGUUAUGUUAAGCUUGACUUUUUAGGCUUAUCUUUUUAUUUUAUUAGAUUGUUGAUAAGGAUGAGCUUAUUAGUCUAGUAAACCGUCCAUUAUUCUCUCACCCCCUUUCACCUUUUUUCUCCCUGUUAUUGUUUUCUAUUUGGUUCUUUCCUCUCUUUUUUCUUUUUUUCCUCUUUGAGCUUUUUUCUUUUCUUUUGCUUUGAAUCUCCGAUUUCGAUUAUAAUCCAAAGAUAACGUAAGUUUUGUUAAAUUAUUUUGUUGUUAUUUUGGUGUUAAUUCGUUGUGCAAGGGUGAAAUUAUUAGUUUAAUCCUUUUAAUAUAUUAUGAUAAAUAUUCUAUUGAUUCUCUUAUCAGAUUAAAGGGAUGUGAAUCGAAACCCUAAAAUUUUUGGACUAUUUAUUUUAUAAUUUUAAAUGAUAAAAAUAUUAUAUUUUUAUAAAGAUAUAUACUAUUCAAAUGAUGAAAUUAUAUUUUAUUUUAUAAAAUUAAAUUUUAAUUUUAACAUUCUUAAAAAUAUUUUCUACCUUCCCCUCUUCCCUUACCGAUCAUAAACAUGGACAUCAAUCCUAAACAUGGACAUCAUAUGGCGAACAAAAUUUAUAUAAAUUUAAAAUUUUUUAAACACGGUUAUGUUUUUCUCCAGGUUUGUCCUAACCUCACUUGGCACCUUUUCCUCUUACAUAUCUUGAAAUAAGGGAUGUAAAAAAUAUGAAAAAAUUGCAACAAAUAGUUUUGAUAGUAUGCUCCGAGUGUAGCAUUUGGUGUCUGCUGGUUAUUAGUGUUUUCUUGUGUGUGUCGACUGUUGGUGUUUCUUAUGGAGGAGGGGUUAGCAGAUCUGCGUUUAACGGAGGAAGAAGACAAUAAGGAGUUGGAAGCUUGGGAGAUUGAACAGAAUAAGGAGAUAGAAGACUCUUUUUCGGAGUUGUGCUUGGUAGGGUGUUUUCUAACAGCAACUCCGAUAAAUUUUUAGGCUAUGCGGACUGUGAUGGCAAAUCUGUGGCAUUCUUUGGGGGGAGUUUCCAUUGCAGAUGUGGGUGAGAAAAGGUUUGUCUUUCAAUUUUAUUGUGAAAUGGAUUUUGAUAGGGUGGUGAAGGGCGCUCCUUGUACUUUUAACAACCAUUUACUUGUUUUUCAUCACUUAAAACAAGGCAAAGAUCCCUUGGAAGUGGAUUUAUUAUAUACCGAGUUCUGGGUUCAAAUUUAUAAUCUGCCACCUAGUUUCUUUACGGAAGCUAUUGCUAAAUAGUUUGGAGAUUUUAUUAGAGCCUUUGUGGAGUACGAUGUCAAAGCGAUUAUGGAGGGAUUAAGAAAUUAUAUGCGGAUUAGAGUUAAAGUUGAUAUCCGGCAAAGUCUGAAGAGAAGAAAGAAACUUAUUAUGGCAAAAAAAGAGUUCUUUACUAAUUUCAAAUAUGAAAGGUUGUCAACAUUUUGUUUUCUGUGUGGCAAGCUCGGACAUAGUGAGAAUUACUGUCCUAUACGAAUGGUGACAGGGAGAAAGGAGCUUCCUCUUGAAUGGGAUAUCUCGCUCAAAGCUCCUCCACGUAGGGCGGCGACGGUAGGCAGUAUUUGGUUAAGGGAACCAACUGAAAUUUGGGGAGUGUAUCAGGGAAUUUCUAAAAAUGAUGAAGGCAAACAAGGAAAGAAUCUGGGGGAAUUAAAUCUAAUGAGGAAUAAUGGAACGAAUUUGGGGUUGAAUUUAUAUGAAAAAUCAAAACAGAUUGUGAAUGAGGAGUUGGUGUUGAUGGAAGUUGGGUCUACUAAAGAGGAUCGGCCCAUUAUUGGAGGAGAGGGGAAAAAGAGGCCUAGACCCAAUAAUAUUCAAAAUGCCUCUACCACCGAUGAUAUGAUGUGGAAAAAUGGGUUAAUGGAGGAUGUUAAUCAAAUCAACCAUACGGCUGAACCUGCAGGGCAGGUCAACCGAGCAUUAUGAAAAUAUUAAGUUGGAACGUCCGUGGGCUGGAGAACCCACGGUCUGUUCAGAAAAUUCAGCAUGUGCUGAAAAAGUACUGUCCCCAAGUUUAUUUUUUUAUGGAGACAAAAGUAGAGAAAUCGAGAAUGGAAAGGAUAAGAAAGAAAUUUGGUUUUGCGAAUGGGGUGGAUAUUUCAGCUCAAGGAUCACGAGGGGGUCUUUCUUUGAGUUGGUGUAGUUCGAUGGAUGUUACCAUCUCAAGUUAUUCUGGGAAUCACAUUGAUGCAGUUAUUGUUAAUAGUGAUGGGGCGACAAAGUGGAGACUAACAGGGUUUUACGGUAUUCCAGAUUAUCAGUGGAGAGAUAUUUCUUGGGACUUGCUAAAGCGGCUGAGCACGAACAAUGAAUUGCCUUUGGUUGUUGUAGGGAUUUUAAUGAGAUUUUAUUUAGUUCUGAGAAACAAGGAGGUCGAUUGAGGGAAGCAAGGCAAAUGGAGGCUUUUCGAUCAGCUUUGGAAGAUUGUGAGCUGGUGGAUAUAGGGUAUUGCGGCCGAUGGUACACGUGGGAAAAGGGGAAUUUUGAGGCAAAUAAUAUAAUAGAGCGGCUUGAUAGGGGAGUGGCUACUUUGGGUUGGACUGAGAUGUUUCCGUUCUCCCGGCUCCUUCACAUUAAUAAUUCAACUUCUGAUCAUUGUCCUCUAUUGUUGGAUACGGAAUUUUCAACAAGUAAUGGUAAUUCUUCAAAUUCAGGGUGUUUAUUUCGCUUUGAAACUGCUUGGUUGUUAGAAGAUUCUUGUCAUGAGUAGGUUAGAUCUUUGUGGGACUCCAAUAAAAAUGUGUUAGUGCCUGAAAGAUUAACACUGAUGGGUGAGGGGCUCCGAAGAUGGGCUAGCCAUUUAAAGAAUGAGAGGGGUGCGAAUAUGAAGAAGCUGUCAGACUAAUUAAAUAAACUGUCUGAGGAAGAUCCUUCAGAUGACAUUCUCGAGGCUAUGAUUAAGACUAAAUUAGAGCUGAAUCUCGAGAUUGAUAAGGAAGAGCUCUAUUGGGAGCAAAGGGCUAGAUCGAAUUGGUUAAGGUAUGAGGAUCGGAACACUAGUUUUUUCCAUAAUCUUGCCUCAAGUAGACGUCGUAAAAAUAAGAUCGCUGGGCUGAAGGACCAAAAUGGGUCCAUCAAAGAUACGGACGAAGAUCUUAUGCGAAUUGCAACCAGUUAUUUUAAAGGACGGUUUGCGAGUGAGGGAAGUAGAGGAGCUCAAAAAUUUUUUGAAGGGGUCCAAAAAAUGAUAACAAUUGAGAUGAAUAGGAUGUUGCUGGAUACUUUCCGGGAGGAUGAAGUUAGGAGGGUGGUCAAGGAGAUGGGGGGAAAUAAAGCUCCCAGUUUUGAUGGCUUCCAUGCAGUGUUUUUUCAAAUAUUUUGGGCGAUUGUAGGCAAGGAUGUUACAAGCUUUUGCCUUAGAGUACUUAAUAGAGAACAACAGCUGAAUGAGGUUAAUUUUACAACGAUUGUUUUAAUCCCUAAAGUCUCAACGCCAGAUUGUAUGACAGAUUUUCGGCCCAUAAACUUAUGUACGGUGCUUUAUAAAAUUAUAGCGAAAGUCAUUGCUAACAGAUUUAAGAGAGUGUUAGAUGGUUGUAUUGAUGAAGCUCAAUGAGCGUUUGUCCCUGGUCGGCUUAUUACGGAUAAUGUCCUUACGGCUUAUGAAAUUAUACACACUUUUAAGAAUAGAAGAAAAUGGAAGAAGGGUUUUUUUGCUUUAAAGCUUGAUAUGAGUAAAGCAUACGACAGAGUUGAAUGGGGAUUUGUCACAGGUAUGAUGAGGAGUAUGGGGUUUGAUGAUAAAUGGGUGGAGUUGAUAAAUCAUUGUAUUUCUUCGGUCUCUUAUGCUGUUACGAUUAACAGAAGCUUGAGUGAGCCUUUUCAACCGAAACGGGGACUCAGACAAGGGGAUCCGUUGAGUCCCUAUUUGUUUCUUAUUUGUACUGAAGGUUUUUCAACAUUACUUAAACUAGCCAAGAGGGAUGGUCUUAUUCAAGGCGCACGUGUUUGUCGGGGGGCCCGAGGGUAACUCUUUUGUUUUUCGCGGAUGAUUACAUUAUCUUUGGAGAAGCAAAUGAGGAUGGCUGCAGGAUAAUGAAGGGAUUUCUUGAUGACUAUGAAAAAGCUUCAGGUCAAAAGAUUAAUUUGGACAAGUCUCAAAUUUUCUUUAGUUCUAACUAUUCUGAAGAAACUAGAGAGCUGUUGACAAAUUAUUUGGGUGUUAGGUCCGUAACGAGCAUGGAAAAGUAUUUGGGUCUGCCUACAAUGGUGGGGAGGAAGAAGAAUGAGGCUUUCCAAAGAUUGUGUGAUAGGCUGAGAACAAGAAUUGAUGGGUGGGGGAGUCGAAUAUUGUCUCAAGGGGGCAAAGAUGUCUUCAUCAAAGCAGUAUUACAGGCCAUACCGAUUUUUUUAAUGUCUUGUUUUUUGCUUCCAAAGUCAUUAUGUGCUGAAAUGGAAAAGAUUAUGAAUCGAUUUUGGUGGGGAAAAGGAGGUAAUAGGCAUGGUUUGCACUGGUCCUGCUGGACUGAUUUAUGUCAGGCUAAAGAGAAUGGGGGUCUAGAGAGAUUACCUGCUGUUAGAGAGGUGGAUAUCGAUCGAUGGAAACCCCCACAAGCUUCAUGGGUAAAAUUGAAUUUUGAUGCAGCCUACAAAGUUCAAUCGAAUAAGUCCCGUUCGGGGUUCAUCAUUAGAAACGAGAAAGGGGAAGUUAUGGGUAGUGGGAUUACUCUUCACUCCAACGUUUUGGAUGCGGGUUUGGCUGAAGCUUUAGCUUGCUAUCAAGGUCUCCUCUUUGCCAAAGAAAUGGGGUUAACAAAAGUAGAGGUUGAAGGAGAUGCACGGGUAGUAAUUGAGAAAAUCAAUCAGGAAGAAAAUGGUAGAGCACAUUUGGACUCGAUUAUAGAAGACAUCAAAGCAUUUGAAAGGUUUUUUCAUCAGAUUAGCGUUAAACAUGUUAGAAGAGAGGUUAAUCGAGUGGCUCAUCUCAUUGCUAGGGAGGGUUACAGUAGAUUAGAAAAUACCUUUUGGAUGGAAGACAUUCCGGCGGUGGCGAAAGAGCUGGUGGCUACUGAAGAGACGAGCAACGUUUUGUAAUCGACAGAAGGUUUUGUUCAAGGGUGUUUGGACUGGGCUGAUAAAUUCAUUGAAAGCCAUGCUUUAGUCACUAGAGAGAUUUACAUGGUGGUCUGGAGCUUUGUUUUACCGGGUUUCCACUUUACUUUUUCUUUUCUAUUGUUGUUUUUUUCAGAUGUUUUUGGUUUCUUUAACUAUUUUGAUUGGGUUUUGUUAGGUUUUAAUGGAAAUCACGGUUUUUAAUCAAAAAAAAUAUGAAAAAAUUGUUCUCUUCAAACUGCAUGCCGUUAAAUUUGGAAGUGCUUGAGGUUUCAUUACGUGUCCAACUGGAGGAAAUAAUAGCAUUAGAUUUUGAAUGGGACAGAAGAGGAAUGCCUACCAUGGAAUUUUGCCUUCUAAAAUUAAACAUACUUGUACUGGAAUGCCUACCUGAAUUGAAAAGUAUUUGCAAUGUUGAUGCAGUGGUGGUUUGUGAAUCCCUUAGAUGGAUUGAUAUAAUAGAUUGUCGGAAAUUAAAAAGGGUGCCUUUUAGUCUUCCCCAAAUCCGAUCAUCUUCACCAACUCUCAUUUUCUAUUUAUGUAGCGAUAGAGGAGUGGUGGAAAUCUGUGAGUAACAUUGGCAUUACUUAUAUUUUCUUGUUUCUAGGCAACUUUGAUGAAUGCAAUUGCAAGCUGUCUUCUUUAUUUGAAUCAAACCUCAUUUCUUUUUUGGUUGUAAUAAGCUUUGGUUAUUGUAUUUUGAUGCUUGUUUAUUGUGUCUUCCUUUUCCAUUCAAUACUUUUCCUUCGUAAUAUUCUAUAUCAACAAGACGAUAUACAUAUUAGAAAAAUUGAGAUAUUUCAAAGGAAUCAAAUAUCAUAUUCUUAAAGAAAGAUUUUGAGAUAUUUGUUUAUAAAUCUUUAUACUUCAUGAGUUAGAGGGAAUCAAGUUGAGAAGGUAGAUUUGUUCAUUAGAUUCAAAAAGUUAUUGUAAUAGAUUUUUGAACCUUUUAGUUUUUAAAAAUAUUUUUUAUUAGAUUUUUUAGAGUCCAAGAAAAAUAAACUUUUUAACUAAUAAAACUUAUAUUUAUCCAAGUUAUAAAUAACUUAAUCGAUUGAAAUUAUUUUUAGUUAAAUCCAAAUUCAUUGAACUAUUUUCAAACUAUUUCACUUACCUUUGCUAUUUUUAGCCAAUAAAAUUCUUAUAUAUAUGGUUGGAAGCCAAUGCAACUUUUGGAUAAAAGCCAAAUUUAUCCUUUAAAAGAUUUUUUUUUUGGAAGAUUCUAGAAUAUAAAAUAAAGAAAUAGGAUAUUAUCUAUAAGACUAGAUAUUAUAUAUGAAUAUUCUAGUUAUUAAAUAUUUGUAAAAUUAAUAGUAAGGAUAUUGACAUGUAUCAACAAUCCAACGGCCACUAAACUCUAUAAAUAGGGGUAAAGGCUUUCAUUCUUGUAAUGAUGUAAGAGAGAAGUGUGUAUCAUAUUAUAAUUGUAUUGUGUAUUAAUAAGAGUGUUUUCUUCUUUUGUAAUUGUAAGUCUCGGUUAAACCUUAAGUUUCUAAGCACUUAGUGCACUUGGAUUAGCUUUUAUAUACAGUGCACUAAUAAGUUAGAAAAUAAAAGAUUAACCGACUUCAGAAAUUUAGUGUAGCAUUAGUUGUAGGUCCGGCGAAAUAUCAUUAAAGACAGUAUCCAACACGUCUCAAGUUAUUCAACUUUUAUUUUUUAUUCUUUAAAUUGAAUAUUUACAAGAAUACAUACCAACACUUUUAAUUCUUUGAUUUCUAUUCAUAUAUAUUUAUAUCAUCCAUAUUUAUUCAUACAUUCAAAGUUGGGAAAGCAGUUGUGAUUUUGUGAGCUUGGAGUCUUAAUUUAAUCCCAACAAAACCUUAACAAAUCAUCAGCAAAUGAGAUUCAGCUACAAUCGAUUGGAUGAUCAAAGAAUAAAAAUUGUUUCUAUAGUUAUACAUCGUAUCGUGAAGAUUCGAGAAUCCUAAAGGAAUAAUUGAUAAGGGAUUAGAUUGGAAAGGGAUUAAUAGAGGAUAUGGGUAACAUGGAAGCAAACUUUGACAACUGUCAGACUAUACUAAGAACAUUAGUUGAUAAUUGAUUGUUAGAAAAUGUAGGAAAUGGAAGAGUGAAAAUGCAUGAUUUUGUAAUAGAUAUGGCUAAACUAAUCACCAAUGAGUUAUAUGAAUCAUGAAUUAACAUUGCAACUUUAACCUAUGUAUAAUUUAGCUCCAACAUUUAUAUUUUUUUAUUAACUAAAAUGAUACAAUAAAUCAAAAACAAUCAAAACUUAAAUUAAUUAAAAUUAACUUUGUAUUUUUUAUUCUUUAAAGACAGUAUCCAACACGUCUCUAGUUAUUCAACUUGUAUUUUUUAUUCUUUAAAUUGAAUAUUUACAAGAAUACAUACCAACACUUUUAAUUCUUUGAUUUAUAUUCAUAUAUAUUUAUAUCAUCCAUAUUUAUUCAUACAUUCAAAGUUGGGAGAGCUGUUGUGAUUUCAUGAGCUUGGAGUAUUAAUUUAAUCCCAACAAAACCUUAACAAAUCAUCAGCAAAUGAGAUUCAGUUACAACUGAUUGGAUGAUCAAAGAAUAAAAAUUGUUUCUAUAGUUACGCACUGUAUCGUGAAGAUUCGAGAAUUCUAAAGGAAUAAUUGAUAAGGGAUUAGAUUGGAAAGGGAUUAAUAGAGGAUGUGGGUAACAUGGAAGCAAACUUUGCCAAGUGUCAGACUAUCCUAAGAACAUUAGUUGAUAGUUGAUUGUUAGAAAAUGUAGGAAAUGGAAGAGUGAAAAUGCAUGAUUUUGUAAUAGAUAUGGCUAAACUAAUCACCAAUGAGGUUUAUGAAUCAUGAAUUAAUAUUGCAACUUUAACCUAUGUAUAAUCAAGCUCCAACAUUUAUAAUUUUUUAUUAACUAAAAUGAUACAAUAAAUCAAAAACAAUCAAAACUUAAAAUAAUUCGAAUUUAAUAAAAAUCAAAAUUAAAAUUAACUUUGUUGAUAUGGUAAUGCAACUAGAAGACAUGGGGAAGGACAUGGUUGUGAUUAUGGAGGUUGGUUCAUCCAGUUGGGAUAGAGAGCCAAAUACUACAAAGAGUGAGAAUGAAGAGAUAUGCAAACAAAGUGUUGAGGGGAACUUUUUUCAUCGUUCUUAGAAGUAUUUAUUGACGGGGUCCUGCAACAGCCCGAUUUUGGGUCUAGUCGGAACAGUAAUUUCAGGACCACAAAUUCGACGAGAAAAAAUCUAAUCGCCUAAAUUUUCAGGGGUGUCGGAACGGUGAUUCGAGAUCACUGAAUCCGACAAGUAAGUAAAAAAUAUUAUUAAUUUAGUGAGUAUAAGUUAAAUGUGAAGUUAAGAAAAUUUUUGAAAUAGUGAAUAGUGCACUAGAAAUAAAUAUUAAAAUAAUUAGAAUAAAAAACGAGGUAUCGAGACCUCAGAGAUUUUAAACCGAGCCAUAAAUGUUUAUAAAAAUAUUUAUGGAGUGUUAAAAAGUUAGUAUUAAAGUUUCGUUAAGAAAUUUUAAAGUUUCGAUAAUUAAUUGAACAAAAAGGACUAAAUUGUAACAAAUCCAAAAUUAUGGUAAAUGAUUAAAUAGCUUAAAUGAUAAAAGGAAGAGGGCUUAAAAGGAAAAUAGACUCAAUGUCUAUUUGGGCUGGACGGCAAAGGCAUGAAAUCAUCAAGAAUGUACGAAGAAUUAAGGGCAAAAUUGGAAUAUUGCAAAAUUACUUAAUAAAGCUAGGAUCAAAGUGGAAUUAUCGAGAUUUCUCUUUAUUUUUCUGCAUUCUCAUCAGCUAAAACAGCAUAGAAGGGUUUUCUUAAGCUGGUUUUUCAUAUUUUUACUGCAAGUAAGUUCAAUUCUUGAUUAUUUCUUGAAAUUGUUGUGUUUUUGUGACUUUUACAACUAGGCCCACUUGUUGAAUUCAUUAGAUUUUGAUUUUAUGAAAGAAGUUGAAAGUUGCUAUGAAUAUGUGCUGGAAGUAUAUGAUGAUUUAGAAUGGAAUUAGAGCUAUCCUCAGAACACUAGUAGAUAAUUGUUUGUUAGAAAAUGUAGGAAAUGAAAGAGUGAAAAUGCAUGAUCUUGUUAGAGAUUUGGCUAAACUUAUCACUCAUAAGUUGUAUGAAUCAUGAAUUAACAUUGCAACUUUAACACAUGUAUUGUUAAGCUCCAACAUUUAUAUUUUAGAUCAAUUAAAAUCAUACAAUAAAAAACAACCAAUCAAAAUUUAAAAUAAUUCAAAUUUAAUAAAAAUAAAACCUAAAAUUAACUUUAUUGAUAUAGAAAUACAAUAAAGAGGAGAUAUGGGAAAGGACAUGGUGGUGAUUUUGGAGGUUGAUUUACCCACUUGAGAGCGGAGAGCUAAGGACUGCAAAGAGUGAGAUUGAAGAGUGCAUAUAGGCAAAAUGUUGAGGGUAAGUUGAUAGAGUAUAUGUUUGUAUGUUUGGAGAGUCAAUCAUUUCUUCAUCGUUCUUGGGGGUAUUUAUUGGAGAGGGUCUUGUGAAGGUUGUUAACAUGCUAAAUUUGCCAUCUAACCAUCAUUACGGAACGUGUGGGGAGGAUGUCUAUGAUGGGAUGAGAAUGCCUGUGAUGAGACAGAUCUUGUUAUUCAUUAUAAUACAAUAGUGCAGAGUAGUUGAGCUCACACGGGAGUUGGUAACCAACAAUAUCACGUUUUUAACAAAAGGCCAAGGGUUCAAAGUAAUGAGUAGUUCUUGUUUGUCUAGAUAGUUAGGACGAGAGAUGAAACUUGGGGCAGCCUUCCAAUUGGUGGUUGGCAAAUUUGUUGCCUAGGUGACCUUCUAACUUGUCACGUGUCCUUAUUCAAGUAGGAGUAUAAUAAACUCAAUUUUUUAAAGAUGUAAAUUAGUUCAAUCUAAGUUAAACAAGUUAAUUAUAAAAAUUAAUUCACAAAACAUUUAUGUUUUAGGAUUAUUUCCCAAGAUAUUUAUGUUUCUUUUUCUUUUUGAAAGGUACUCAGAUGGCCUAUCAAUAAGAACUUUUUGAACUUUAAAUCCUAAUCUAUUUUUUUUAGACACUAAACUUUAAAUUAAAAUAUUUAAUUAACUUUUAAAGAGCCCACUUUUAAAACAAAAAAGCCUAUGAAAUAUUGAAACCUACGCAACAACCCUUUGAAAUAUAAUAAAAAGCCAUGACAUCACAUGCAUACAAAACUUAUAUAAAUUUAAAAUUUUUAAACACAGUUACGAAGUCAUAAAAAUACAAACAGUCUUUUAAUUAAAUAUGGUAGGUGCAUUAAUUAAAUCUCAAUGCCCACCGAAGUUGACUUAAAGGAGUUGAUAUAUAGGAUUGAUAAAUCAGUUUUUAUGGGCUAUUUUACCAAUCUAGCCUAAAAAAAUUUGAUAUUUACAAAAAUGACAUUGAUUCAAAAACAUUUACUAAAAUAACCUGAAAUGUACAGUAAAAUUAAGUUAUGAGAAAUAGAUAGCCGGCACCACUUUUUUCUAUUAAAAAAAUAAUUUUUGAGGUUUUAGACACUAGAUAUGUAACACCCCCUAACCCUAAACCGUCGCCGGAACAGGGUUAUGAGAUAUUACCGGACAUAUCAAAUAAUUUACAAAUAAUUCUUAAAUAAAUAACCAACAUAUUAUAAUAAUUCAAAAAUUCAUAUAAAUUUUACUAAUUGAUUUCAUUCAUUUUUUUUAUAAAAAUUUCGGCAUCAUUUCUGCUUAUUUUUACAUAAAACCCCCUGCAAAAUUUCAAAACAUAACUAACCCAAUUCCAAUAUUUCAAUCAAGGCAUUUAUAUACUUAAACCUUACUUGACAUAUUGACAUAACAACUUAAUUAAUAAAAAUCCUAUUAUCAUUUCUAAUUAACUCAUAAAACUAAUCAAGUCAUUUCAAUUCGAGACCAAUGCCAUAAAAGACUUCUACUAUUUUACUAAUAUAAUCAUCAAAACACAUAAUAUCUUACUUUACAACAAAACUAUAUAACAUACCAAAAUAACUAUUAUAAUUCUUAUGUACAUGCCACUUUCAUUUAAUGAAGAAAACAUCAUCGAAAUCUCUAUGCAGGAGUUGAGAUUGACCUGGAUGCUAAAUCGAGACUCAGACCCCUUUUUCAACCCGCGCACAGAAACAACCAUACGCUGAGUAUUUUACACUCAGUGGUAUUACCAUAAUUCAAAUUAUAAUAGCAAUAAAGAAUUAUAAUUACGAAGCAUGUAACUAUCCGAUUUCUUAAAUAUCAAUUAAUUCAUAAACUUUCAUUAUUUAACAAUAGCAAUACAAUUUUUUUUAGCUAUUCUUCAUUCUCAAUCACAUAUCACAUGUAGCAAUUUCAAUCACUACAUAAACAUUAAAUUCAUGCAUUUUAUUUUCAAUAUCAAUUUCAAUCUGAAAUUUUAAAUUUUCUCAUAUUCAAUACCACAAUCGAUCAAAUUCAUUUAAUUUUCUCAUUUCAAUUAUUCACCCUAUUAACAAUCUGGACUUUGACGGAUACAUGGAUUCCAACCCAAACACACUAGUACAGCACAUUGUGCCUAAAACGGUACAUAGUACCUGAUCAGUAUACGACACAUAAGUGCCUGAAACGACACACGAGGUGCCUGAUACGACACAUAAAGUGCCUGAUCGGCAAAGCCGAUAAAUCCCGUACUCUUCCAAAUCCUAUGGCAUGCCAACUAUAUCCGACUUAGCCCGACUAGUUAAUAGGGUAUUCAAAUUCUCAAUUCUCUUUGAUUUUCAAUUCAAGAUCACUUUUCCACUUUCUAAUCAAUUAACAAUUUAAUAUCAAUACAUAUUUCAAAUAAUCACAUAUAAUCAUAUUUCAAUUCAAUUCAAACCACUUUUCAAUCAUUACACAAUUCACAUAUUCACACAUAUUCAUAAAUUAAUUCACUUUAUUUAAUUCAUUUUUUAAAUCCAUUUUUUAAUCAAAUUCAAAUCACUAAAUACUUUUUAAUCAAUAUACAUUUCAAAUACUCACAUAUUUCCAUCAUUCAAUUUAAUUUGAUUCAAUUCAAGUCACUAUUAUCAUUCCAAUUGCUUACCUAAUUUUACUUACCAUGCAUUUUAAUUAAAAUAUAACAAUUAAUAAUAAAUAGAUUUGAAUUAUAGUAAUACAAACCCGAAUUUGCUCGAUUAUUCCUCAACGACCUUCUUCUUCCCUUUUUGUGGCGAUACCUCGAAUUAUUUAUUAGCUACGAAAAUUAAAUAAUUAAAUAAUUAAUUACAGCACAAAUUUUACAAUAAAAAUAAAAUUUCUAUCAAAUUUUAUACUUUAAUUCCAAUUUAAUCCUAACUAGAUUUAUCUACUUUUCUAAUCUAAUUCAUACUCUAUUUCUAUUCAAAUUUCUUAUAAACUCAAAUUUAUCUACUAAUUUUCAGCAUUUUUCACUAAUUUUGAAUUUUCCUCAAUUUAAUCCCUAAAAUUCAAAACUUAUAGUUUAGUUUACAAUUCAAUCCUUUAUUCAAUUCCAAAUAAAAUUUCUAUUAAAUAAAUCCUCAAUUCCAUCAUUUAUUCAACAUAAACCCUACUCAAAAAUCUAUUAACUUUCAAAUUUUCAACUUAAAUCCAAGAGUAUUUCAUUCUAGGAUUCCAAAAACAUCAAAUUUAUGAGAAAAGGACUUGAUUUAGUUUACCUAUUAAACUUCAAGCUUCAAAAUCUCAAUUUUCCCCCUUUCUUUUCUUUCCCUUUUCUUCCCCUGUUUUCGUCUCUUUCUCUGUUUCUUUUCUGUUCUUCUUCUCUUUUUCUGUUCUUUUAUUUCAUUUGUUUUCUUUUACUUUUUGUUAUAAUAAUAUAAUAUAUAAUAAUUAGUAUAAAUAUCUUUUACCACACAUGUCAUAUUCAUAACCAUACAUUUGUCUUAAUUUAUUUCACAAUAUAAUAAUAUAGAAUAAUUUAUGCCGCCUCAAAUUUGGCAAUUAGCAUAAUUGCCCAUUUGACCCCUAUUAUUUUCCUUUAAUCUAUAAUUAAACUUUCACUUCUAUUAUAAUUUAAUCCUUUUUACUAAUUACUGUUAAUUAGACUAAAUUCACCUAAUUAAUACCUAAUUAAGCACUAAAUUAAACUCAUGAUUACUUCUAAUAAUUAUUUUCGAACUCAAUUUACUAAGACGGAGGCCCGAUAUUAUACUUUUCCGAUGCCCGUGAAUUUUUGGGUCAUUACAAGAUGGUUGGCACCAUGUAUUUUUUUUCAAAAAAAAUUUUUUUGGGUACUGGCACACUGAUGGCCGGCACCCCUUUAUCUGAUUAAAAAAAUAUUUUUUUGGGGGAAAGUGGUGCCGGCCAACAAAGGGCCAAAAUCACCCAACAAAAAAAAUUGGAAAUAUUUCAACAUAACCCCUCCUUGUUUUCUCAUCUUUUUUAUUUCCCAAAUUUAAUUACAUAUUUUAUAUUUUAAAACAAUAUUGAACUACUUAUCAUAUUUUUUAAUUAUUAUUGCAUCACUCAAAUUAUUAUUAAAUUUAAAAACUAAUUUAAAAUAUAUUGAACUACAUAUUUUAUAAAAUUUAAAAUUUUCAUGAUUGAAUUUUCCAUCUUUUGAAUUUCAUAUUUUUUAAAAAUUUUUGUUUUUAUUUUGUUAAAUGUAACUUGAUUGUUGUUAAACUCAAGUAUAAAUAAUAAAUUAAGCCUAAAAAAAAUAUAUUUAUUUUUAAAAAUAUUUAUUAAUUUUAAUAUUGAAUUUUAUAAUUGUGAAAAUAUAUUAAAAUGCUAAAUACAAUAUCCAAAAUGACAGUAAUUGAUACUAAACUAGUUAAUUUUCAAAUCAAUAAUUUAAAAUUAAUUUAAAUUUAAUAUGCACAAUUAAAUUAUAUGUUUUUUUUAUAAAAUUAGAAUAUGCUUUUAUGAUUUUCAUCCUUUAUAAUAAUUCAAAUAAAUAUUGCUAAAUUAUUUUUUAUUUUAAAAAAUAAUGAGUAAUAUAUUUAUAAAAUAUGUAGUUCAAUAUAUUUUAAAUUAAUUUUUAAAUUUAAUAAUAAUGUGAGUGAUGCAAUACUAAUUAAAAAACAUGAUCAUAUUAUUUUAAAAUAUAAAAUAUGUAAUUAAACUUGGGAAAUAAAAAAGAUGAGAAAACAAGGAGGGGUUAUGUUGCAAUAUUCCCAUUUUUUUUGUUGGGUGAUUUUGGCCCUUUGUUGGCCCACACCACUUUCCCCCAAAAAAUAUUUUUUAAUCAGAUAAAAAGGGUAUCGGCCAUAAGUGUGCUAGCAUCCAAAAAAAAAUUGAAAAAAAAGACAUGGUGCCAGCCAUCUAGUGUCCAAAACCUCAAAAAUUAUUUUUUAAUAGAAAAAAGUGGUGCCGGCCAUCUAUUUCCCAUAACCUAAUUUUACUGUUUAUUUCAAGUCAUUUUGGUGAAUGUUUUUGAAUCAGGGUCAUUUUUAUAAAUAUCAAAUUUUUUUAGGUUAGAUUGGUAAAAUAGCCGUUUUUAUAAUAUCAUCAUUCAUUUUAUUAUUAAAAAUUAAUAAGAUACUUUUAAAAAUUAUGGUUUAUAUAUUUUUUAUAUUAGAAAAUUUUGAUAAUUUAUUUUUUAUUUUACAAACUACUUUAAAAAAUUAAUAUAUAUUUAUUUUUUUAAAUAUUUUAACAACAGUGUAACCAAUAAUUUCAUUACAUUUAAAUAAAAAUAUCUUUUCCCCACCCUUGAAAACUUCAAUCAAGACUUCAUAAAAGACCAGGCCCCCUUGUUAGUUUACAAAAAAAGGGAGCUUCGGAAAUGGAAGUGGAGUCUGUCUUGCUUGCUUUGCUGUUGAUAAAUGCCCUUGCGUUUUCGCAGCUUAAUCUGGCAGUUGAGGCGGCUGAGUCUGUUCCUCUAUCACCAUCGGAUGAUUUCUCGAAAGAGUUGAAAGCUUUGUCUAGGAGGAGUCGGCGAAUAACUCCACCAUCACCCAGGAUUAAUGCUCCUGUUCACUUCAAAAGGCCUCCUCUAUUACCUCGACCUCCUCCGCCGCCACGGUCACCACCACCUCCAUGUCUGUGGCGUCCACCUACUCCGUUUGGAUAAGACGAUUGUUUCCCAGAUUUCACACAAUUGAUGAAGCUCUCAUGUCAUCAGCUUUUGUUUGUAAAUUGUAAAACUUUAAAGUGCUUGUAUGUUAGCAGCAAAUACCAGCUUUGUUUAGCUCUAAUAAUAAUUAAAUUUGUAAUGAUAAAAAUAAUAAUAUGUUAAAUACAAAAAUGAAUAAAUGUAUGCAUCACUUUCACUUAAACACUCGUUAAGAAAUUGUUUAAUAAGUAUCCCUUGUCUUCCCUUCCCAUCUCUUUGAAGUCUCCCGACCAUCUCUAUAUGCAGCAUAAAUGAUGAGCAGCUCCCCAUCAACGAGGACCUGGGUCCUCAAAGGCCAACUAAAAAACAACAAUCUCUACGUCUAUGGAGCCUGGACUGCAGAAACUGAGAAACCUCCAAUUCCAAGCUCCCUGGUUCGGUGCGAAGGGCAUUAAAUACCCAACUACCAUAUUUAUAUUGGCCACUCCACUCUAGAGGUGAUCAUGAACCGGG